UAGACCAUCUUUAUCAAUGGAUUCUUAAGAAAAUCUUAAGAUGAUCUUAGUAAUUUUUUAGUAUUAUUACUGAGAACCAAAGUUAAGAUUUACCUCUUUUUGGCUCUUAGGUAAGCAACUCUCUCAACUCAUCUUAACUUUGGUUCUUAGUAAUAAUACUAAAAAAUUACUAAAAUCAUCUUAAAAUUUUCUUAAGAAUCCAU
rnacentral:lncRNA from 1 species